rnacentral:piRNA from 1 species
UAUAUGGAGGGAAGUUAGACACACGGG